UACCAGCACCCCGAGUGGUCGGGACGAUUAUUGGGCCUAAAGCAUCCGUAGCCGGUUCUACAAGUCUUCCGUUAAAUCCACCUGCUUAACAGAUGGGCUGCGGAGGAUACUAUAGAGCUAGGAGGCGGGAGAGGCAAGCGGUACUUAGUGGGUAGGGGUAAAAUCCGUUGAUCCAUUGAAGACCACCAGUGGCGAAGGCGGCUUGCCAGAACGCACUCGACGGUGAGGGAUGAAGCUGGG
rnacentral:rRNA from 1 species